rnacentral:rRNA from 1 species
UACGAAGGGGGCUAGCGUUGUUCGGAAUUACUGGGCGUAAAGCGCAUGUAGGCGGAUAUUUAAGUCAGGGGUGAAAACCCGCAGCUCAACUGCGGAACUGCCUUUGAUACUGGGUAUCUUGAGUAUGGAAGAGGUGAGUGGAAUUCCGAGUGUAGAGGUGAAAUUCGUAGAUAUUCGGAGGAACACCAGUGGCGAAGGCGGCUCACUGGUCCAUUACUGACGCUGAGGUGCGAAAGCGUGGGGAGCAAACAGG